CUUUUCCAUUUGCUCAUACGGCCUGGUCAGGCUGGGAGGAAUCGCUCCCUGCCUUACCCGGGAGAGCAAAGCCACUGAGAACAUCCCGGGCACCAUGCGGCUGCUUCAAGUGACUGCUCUCUUCUUCCUUUUGUCCAACAGUCUAUGCCGUGCACUGACAGAAACAUCCACAACAAAAGCAUCGGCUACAACACCAGACAUGGUGUCAAUCACAAACAAAUCAACAGGCGGAACACCUCCUAAAGGAACGACCAACAGUGCAACACCCAAAACACCUUUGAUGCCAGCACUUGAUUCACCGACAACACCAAAACAUGAAACAACAACUCGUGGUGUCAUAAAGAAUGAAGUUUCCACUAUAAAAACAACAGUGGCAAAUCCUACCAUUUCGAAUGCUGUUUCAACACUCUCAAGUCCCCAGAACAAGACGGAGAAUCAGAGUUCAAUCAGGACAACAGAAAUAUCAGGUACCAAUCAACUGCCAGAUGACCAAAAACCAAAGACGACCGAGACGCCCUCUGCAUCGCUAACAACUGCAAAAACCAUCUCACAGAUUCAGGAUACUGAGGAUGGGAAGAUCACAGCCACUACAUCAACCACCCCCUCCUAUUCCAGUGUUAUUUUGCCCGUGGUUAUCGCGCUGA
rnacentral:lncRNA from 1 species